AGGAGUCUUUUUUCAAUUUUCCUUACCCCAAGUGAAGGAAGAAUCAAGCCUCAUAAGCUGUUGAAGUGCUAUGGGUCAAUGGAGUAAUUCUGGAUUUACACAGCUGAAAAUGGAAUUGAAUUUGGCUGAUACAUUUGUUUAUUGCAAAGGUGUCGACACCAUCCUAUCUUCAUAGAAGUUUCUCUUCCCACUCUUAUAGGACUUCCAACAAAAACCAUUGAAUUCACUGAAAAAGAAAACCUCCUGUCUUCAAUAAUCUUUGUAUCAGAUUCAUGGAAUACAGCUAUCACAAAAUUUUACUGUUCAGAGUAAUACAAUUUACAUCAUGACAGGAUACAGAUAAAAACUAGUAGAAAUUAUGUUUCCAUUUUGCUGCAUGGUAAUU